rnacentral:lncRNA from 1 species
UUAAUCGAAUGAGAAUAGAAAAGUUACAUGUUUUAAAUUCAAUACAAUUGGAUGUCCCUGAUGGAUAAUAUAAUAUAUGAACCUUUACGGUUCAAUAAAACUGGAGGAUGAUUGUGUUGUGGCCCAAACGAGAUCUAAACUUCGAUAAAUUGAAUUGACCGUAAAAAAUAGAUGGGAUUGUAUUUUUGUAUUGAUGACCCUAUUGAAUUGACG